ensembl:antisense Gm7616 predicted gene 7616
CCCAGCCCCUUAGGAACCUUCAUGGACAAGGCUUCAGACAAGGCCUGAAGCUCCACUUAGCAGCCAAGUCAGGGCUUCAGGGCAAGGUUUGUACUCUAGACAUCUGCUUCCCACAUCCAAGUCACCUUAGCAAGCCUUCCAUCCUCUCCGCGGGCAGUCUUCUGUCACAGCUUCCUGACAGCUUCUCACCAGUCUCUGUCCACACCUAAGAUCUAUGCCCCGACAUCCCACUCAUCCCCAACUGUCCUGCAUAGACAUUGGCCCGACACAGAAGCUGCCACUAUGGGCCUCACAGCUAGGAGACUGAGUCGGAGAGGCCCAGAGUGGGGAGGCAGGUGCUGGGAGAAACUGACCACAGGAGAGAUGCAAUCCCUUCCCCAUGGGGCGUUACCUCUGGUCAAGCCCUGAAGAAUGCCCUGAAGGCAGAGCAAACAAGUAGAGUGGCUGUCUUCAGAUGCACCAGAGGAGAGCAUUGGAUUGCAUUACAGAUGGUUAAGAGCCACCAUGUGGUUGCUGGGAUUUGAACUCAGGACCAUCGGAAGAGCAAGAAGCUAGUGCUCUUAACCACUGAGCCACCUCUCCAGCCUGGAAUUUUUUUUUUUAAAGUUGUUUUUAAAAAUA